rnacentral:rRNA from 1 species
CCUACGGGAGGCAGCAGUGGGGAAUAUUGCACAAUGGGGGAACCCCUGAUGCAGCGACGCCGCGUGAGUGAAGAAGUAAUUCGUUAUGGAAAGCUCUAGCAGCAGGGAAGAAAAUGACGGUACCUGAGUAAGAAGCCCCGGCUAACUAUGGGCCAGCAGCUGCGGUAAUACGUAGGGGGCAAGCGUUAUCCGGAUUUACUGGGGGUAAGGGGAGCGUAGACGGCAGUGCAAGUCUGGAGUGAAAGGGGGGGGCUCAACCCCCUGAUUGCUCUGGAAACUGUUCGGCUGGAGUGCAGGAGAGGUGAGUGGAAUUCCUUGUGGAGCGGUGAAAUGCGUAGAUAUUAGGAGGAACACCAGUGGCGAAGGCGGCUUACUGGACUGGAACUGACGUUGAGGCUCGAAAGCGUGGGUAGCAAACAGGAUUAGAUACCCGUGUAGUC